GUCAUCCUGUGCACCUGUCUUGGCCACAGUGUGGUGCCUUCUCUGGUGAUCACCAAAUGACAGGCUCAGACAUCUCAUCUGGGAGAGGUUUUGGAAACAGCCUUGGUUUCAAAGGAAAGAAGGGGCUAAUGGGAAGCGAGAGAGGCAGAGUCUGUGCCUCCUUGUGAUUCCCUCUCCUUACCUAUCUCCAGGAGGUAGGUAGCCCCUCAUUAUCAGAAAACAUUUUUUGAGUGCCUGCCCUCAGGGAGACACCAUGCUUUACUUUAGCACAGUGCCUCACAAUUUUCUGGAUUGACAGCAGCCCUCAGAAUCUGGAUGUGCUGUCCCCAUUGGAGGGUCCACAGUAACACACAUGGUGACAUCCACCUUACUCAUGUUAGGCUACCAGGCCAAGGGAUGCUCCAAGACCUUCCCUAGAAUUCCUCCUCCCUCAAAGAAGGAGCCAGCUCCUUCAGGGGCUGGUGUGGCUGCCAGCCAAGAGGCUUGGGGCAGGCCUGGGGCAUGCAGCUGAUACCUGCCCACCAGAUCUCCAAGGAACACCCUCCUCCCCCACUCCCACAGCCUCAUUCAGAUGGCCACUGGGCUACAAGGAGACAGUGCUCACUUCUCCCCACUCCCAGAAAAAACUUCAAAGCUGGACAGCCUCCCUUUCCAUUGUAACCUGUUCCAAGAUCCUCCACUUAGACUAGAUACACUAACGACCCACCAAGCAAUUUUGCUAGGCAGGACCAAAUGUUUAAUAUAGUAGGGGUUGAGCUAGGCCUAGGUACGGAAACUUGAGGAGUGAGGCUUGGGCUGGAAUUCUGGGAGAAGUUGUUGAGGUCAAGAGAGGUAUGAGGAAGAACAACUUGAUGUGAGUGAAAUAGGACAGGGGGACAUGAAGGGGAGGGCCUGAAAGAAUCUGCCUCUCUCAUCUAAUUAUCAACAUGUAAAUAAUAUGCAAAUAACACACUCUUUGUCUAGAGACCACAAGGCCACUGCUUUUUGGAAGUGGAUUACAGAGGGCCCACCAGACAGUAUCUCUGAGAUCCUCAGAUAUGGGACACCCAGGCUCAAGAGAGAGGCCAGAGUGCAGCCAUCUGGUUCUUGCUUAUUCCCUGGAUUGGCUCACUUUCUGUGAGCCUCAGUUUCCCUAUGUGUGAAAUGGCAAGACUACUGGAUGGUCUCUAAGGGUUUUUUCCAGUACCGACAGUCUGGGAUUGUAUGACCUGGGCCCAGUGCCAGGGCAGAGUGGAGGGUUUGAUUCCAUUCUGGGGUGGAAGCCAAG
rnacentral:lncRNA from 10 species